ACUUAAGAUUGCCCCCCCAUAUAGUCUACUCAGUUAGUAUCAGAUAAAUAAUUUUGAGUAUGUAUGAAAUGUAAGAAGAGCCUUCCUGUUUCAAACAUUUGCAGAACAUUUUGAGUUGCUUUUCUUCCAUUGUGACUCUUUACCCUCUUAAAACUUUGGAGGAAUUCACUGCAAGUUCCCACACUUGAGGCUGUUCAGACCCAGCUUACACUGGUAGAGAAGAGGAAGGACUCCAGAGUCCCAAAGGGAGGCAGUCCUAGACAGCCAAGUGUGAGCAGGGAGCCUCCUCCAUUCCCUUCUAAGGCAGAGGAUGUCAUGGGCACUCGGAAUUGAGGUGGGGCCAGGGAGCAAACAGGCUGAAGGCACAGUCCUGGAGCCUGGCAAGGGCAACCACGUUUCCUGGAUGCAUGGCUGAGCUGUGUGUCUGAAAAGGGCAACAGAGCUGGCAUUUAUGGUAUUUGGGAUUUCCACAAAACUCUUUCCAAAGAUGCCUGAAUAUUUCCUAGCAGGAGGAAAAUCCAAAAUGGUGUAGCAUGGUAACUAAGAAACUGGAGUCUGAAGUCAAACAGAACUGGGUGUGAAUUUCAACUCCACCCAUUGUGAGCUGGGCGACCUUAGGCAGAGGCUUCAUCCUGCCUGCAAACUGUUUUCUUUGUGCAAAGCUAGGCAAAAUCAGAAACUAAUCAAAUAAAAGUAUGUACACAAUAUCUGCAUCAUCAUAACUACUGAAUGAAGCCAUGACUCGCAUAGUCCAGUACAUUUUGAUGCAGAAGAGAUUGCAAGCAUGAUCUGCACCAGGUCCUCUGAGUAUACACCACAGCUGUUAGCUUGCCCAGCACUCCUGGAUUAAUCCAAGACUGGUCCAGAUUUCUGCUGGAGAAAUUUGGGCCCCCUACUUUGUAAUCAGGACAAUGAAACCAGAUAUAGGAUGGCUUCUGGACAAUCACCAUUAAAAAGAUACUUCCAUGUCUUAUGAAGUGAGUAUAUCCUUGCCACACCUAUCUGCAGAAAAGGCUCAGGCACCACCAGAUAGUGAGUUCUGUUACAGAAUGGGAUAUGCUGUCCUUUUACUAUGCCCAUGGGAUAACCAAAUGGGCACCACAGGCUUGGAACUCGAUCAGUAUGUACUGAAUUGAGUUAUUUCUCAUUUGCAGGGGAUGACACAGUUCAGUGGUAGACAGCUUGCUUAAAAUAUGCAAGGGUCUGACUUGCAUUCUCAACACUAAAAGGAAAGGAGAGAGGGAGGGAGGGAGAGAGGCCUGGUGGGAAGGAGAGAGAAGGUGGGAGGAAAAGAAACAAUAAAAAGUGCUAAGAAGUAGGACUUUAGCUGUAUUCUGUCUCUAGUUCGUCACUGACUAGUUCGUCACUGCCCACAUGGCCCACAAAGGCCAACUGAAGUCAGAAGUAAUCCCAGGCAACCUUCUAGCCUGGCUUCUUCCUCCUGCUUCCCUGAGGUCAGCCUAGCUUACCAGGAGCACUUGGAGAGUAGACCUUGGGAGAACUGGGAACUUGGAGAUUAUUCUUGACACUGCUAGCUGCCUGUGUAGAAUAAUCUUUUUAUGUGCUGGGAAGAUGUCAAUCUGAUUAGUUUAAUAAAAAGCUGAACAGCCAAUAGCCAGGCAGGAUUUCCAGACACAGAGGAGGCAGGGAAGAAGGAGGGCGGCAUUUCCAGCUGGAUGGAGAAGACGCAACACCAGCCUCACAAACUACAGGUGACCAAGCCACAAUCAAAGGUGUGUAGCACCGUGCCUGGCUAUCUCAUUUAUUUUAGCUGUGUGUAUAGGGAGCAGAUGUGUACUCUACUUUUAUCUUGCCAAAGGAAACUUGAUUUAUUCAGGUGGAUACACUCACAUUUAAAAAUAUUAUCUUACAAAAAUGUUUGAUAUCUCCAUUAUCAUGAUUUUAUGUAUACGCAUGUUAAACUUGAUCAAAUGACAUAUGUUCUGUGCAAUUUAUUGCAUGUAAAUUACACUGUGUUAAGGAGGAAACAUGGAGGCACUACUCUUCUAGACUUCCUGGUGGCCUAUUUCUUACCAAAGAGAUAUGAGCAUAAGCCUACUAAACAGGCAAGCUGUAUUGCUAAAAAGGGGGGGUGGCAUUCUUGGCUGAUUUAAACCUCUUAACAUUUUGAAUUUCUCUGUCUUAGAGAUGGAAGAGCCAUUCUGAAAGAAUGAAGACAAAACCAAACUAAAGCUAAUGAAACAGAAAGUUCAAAGGGACCCUAUACCAGCACUGACCUGUAUCCUAACUUUUUAUUUUAUAGAGAGAGCUCAAAUUUAGCUAUUUGAUUUGCCUUGUAUAUUAUGGUUUCUUUAUAUGUUGCAGCUUUGCAAUCACUCACUGAAUACCAUAAAGUGAGCGACACCACUCUACUGAUAGUCUUUGGUUGUAAAGUAAGUAAAACAAAAACUCUCUCCAUUCUGUUCCCACAAUGGCUUCCCAUGAAGACUUGCUUCCAUGCCUACCAGGUUCAUUUACUGCCCUUCAUAGAAGCAGCACAACUUAAAAUUAAAUGCUGUUUUCUUAACUUGAUAUUCUUACUUCCAGAAGCACUGGAGUCCCUAGAUUUCACCAUGUGUGCAGUCCACAGGUAGCCAGUGGAAGCCGGAGAAGAAAAUUUGAACACCCUGAGCAUUACCAAGUUCUGCUGGCAUACCCACUUCUAAAGCAAAAAAGAAAACACUCGAUAAGAUGCCUGCCUACUACUGAGUUUACUUCAUGCCUGAGCUCUCACUGUUAAAAACUGAUGAAUAAAUUAUCAUCUGUGAAGAAUAUAUCUGUUUGUAAAGAAACACAGAAAGCAAAAUAAACAGAAAGAAACCAAAUGCUGUUCCAGUCUCACUGCUCCAUUUUACUCACUUUUAAUACAAGAUUCUAGAUUCAACUGCAGUUGGAAUCUCCAUGUCUCCUCUCUUUUCCACGUGUCUUCAGCUUUUAUAGACAUCUCCGUGUAAAGGGCUACCUGGGGGACACCCAGGGCAACUUCUGAAGCUUCUGACAAGAAGAAAGAAGUCAGACGCUGAGUCUACACAGACUUCUUCCACAUACGCUUGGCUGUGCCUUUGUCUCUGUGAGAAGUGAACACCUAUCCUCCUCCAACUGGUUGAGAAGUUUCAGUGCCAAAACGUGUCUGUCUAUCAUUAUUCCUGAUAAAUCGCAGCCGUUCCAUCUCAGAUCCAAUGGCUAAACAGUGAGGGUCACCAAAUUAGCCAUUCUCCAUGUCCAGAGGGGAGAGAGACUAGAAAAUGGUUUAAUAACAGAAGAAAGUUGGUGAGGUUUAAAAACAACUGUUGAAAUUCAAUCAAAGAAACUUCCCAAGAGAAACAAAUUAUUAAAUAUUACCACAGAGAUUGGAAAGCCUGUUUUUCCUUUCAGCUCCCACAUUUUAUGAAAAAGAAAUGUCUCCCAAUUCAGAUAACAGUUUCACUGAGUGAAAACUAGGGCACACUGAACUGACCCAUUUUUUCCUUCUUUCAAAACACAAUACAGAGCAGCCAUAUAAAAUGCUUACUAUGAACAAUUUGAUGCAGUGAACUAUUCAUUCAAUAAAUUUCAGACCCUGUGCAACUUUAAAAAGAAAACAACUAAUUCUACAAGGCAACACGCCCACAUCCCAGUACUGCCGUGGUUACAAUGCAGGACAGGACCACUGCUUGCAUCUGCAUCUCUACAUUCCCUCAAGCUUCAGCAUCUUUUUGCUGCUGCCAUUGUUAUGAAAAUCAAAUCUCCUUCCCAAUGAACACUAAUCAAACUAAGUUAUUUGUAUCAGUUACUUGUCUCAGUGCUGUGAUAAAACACCUUGACAAAACAAGUUGGAAAAGGGUCUGAUUUGGGUCACAGUUCCAUUGUUCAAUCCGUGAUGAGAGAGAAGUGAUAGCGAUAAUAUUGCAUCUGCAAUCGGAAAACAGAAUGAAGAAUGUGAUGAUCUGGUGUAAAACAGAUGUCUGUAAGGCCUUGAAGGAUAAUGAAAAAAGUAUCCUUUUAUACAGCGUCCCUUAUAUAACAACAUAGAAGUAAUCCUAAAAUGUUAUUUGACUUCUGCCCAUACACCUGUUUGUCUCUAUGGUCUACAGAAAUCAUCAACUAUAUUCUCCGUAGAAUUUUUUGCAAUGUCAUUCACUCUCAAAUGAUUGAUUUGAUAGAUUUUUUAAACCUAAAUUUACAUCUUUUCAACCCUAAAUUAUAUGGUGGUACAAAAUAAUUGUUUCAAAGCAUAGACAACAAAUCAGACAAAAACUUUCAUUACACAAAAGAAAUUGGUAAAUCGAGA